rnacentral:lncRNA from 1 species
CUGGUGUCACUGAGUGAUAACUAGACCUACUUAGUUGAUAUGUGAAAUAUGGUAAACAUGGCACUACUUUUUUAACCGACUUGACCCCCAGGCACUCAUCCAAAAAUGCAAGUCAGUACUAAAAUCCCAUCCAUGGGCAAGUAUGCUGCUCAGGGCUUAGGAGAUUGAAAUAAUAUUGUCCUUCAUUUUACUAAGAAUGUUCGUCCUUUGGACUAUUUACCUGUUGGGCAAAGAAAGAGGACAUCUGCCAUUCACCAGGGAAGGGGUACUUCUCUGUGCUAUGACAUUAUCUACGCCAUCU